rnacentral:lncRNA from 10 species
CUGAGAUGUGGGGAGCGCCUCAGCCCCGCUGCCCCGUCUGGGAUGUGAGAAGCGCCUCUGCCCGGCCGCGACCCCAUCUGGGAGGCGAGGAGCGUCUCUGCCCGGCCGCCCCGUCUGAGAAGAGAGGAGACCCUCCGCCUGGCAACCGCCCCGUCUGAGAAGUGAGGAGCCCCUCCGCCCGGCUAACACCCCGUCUGGGAAGAACACUUUGCUCACGUAGCAGGCGAACACGAAGCCGAACAGCUGGGAGUGGAGAUGACACGUCAGGGAGGAAGGAGGAGUGGGAACCUCUUCCUCCGCCCCCUGCCGGGCCCUGUACGCUCUGACUGGCAAGGGAGGAGGCAUGCCAGGAUGAAGGCAAACCGUAACAACUUCCAAUUAAAUGUUU